rnacentral:lncRNA from 1 species
UGUCGGUGUGUGUGUGUGUGUGCUUGCGUGUGUAUGGUCAGUCUGUUACAUCUGGAUUUGUGGGGUUAUAUCCUGCCUGUUUGGCCCUGUCCGGGGGUAUCAUCGGAUGGGGCCACAGUGUCUUCUGAUCCCUCCUGUCUCAGCCUCCAGUAUUUAUGCUGCAGUAGUUUAUGUGUCGGGGGGCUAGGGUCAGUCUGUUACAUCUGGAGUAUUUCUCUUGUCUUAUCCGGUGUCCUGUGUGAAUUUAAAUAUGCUCUCUCUAAUUCUCUCUUUCUCUCUUUCUGUCUUUCUCUUGGAGGACCUGAGCCCUAGGACCAUGCCUCAGGACUACCUGGUAUGAUGACUCCUUGCUGUCCCCAGUCCACCUGGCCGUGCUGCUGCUCCAGUUUCAACUGUUCUGCCUGCGGCUAUGGAACCCUGACCUGUUCACCGGACGUGCUUGUUGUACCCUCGACAACUACUAUGAUUAUUAUUAUUUGACCAUGCUGGUCAUUUAUGAACAUUUUAACAUUUUAACAUCUUGACCAUGUUCUGUUAUAAUAUCCACCCUGCACAGCCAGAAGAGGACUGGCCACCCCUCAUAGCCUGGUUCCUCUCUAGGUUUCUUCCUAGGUUUUUGGCCUUUCUGGGGAGUUUUUCCUAGGGAGUUUUUCCUAGCCACCGUGCUUCUUUCACAUGCUUUGCUUGCUGUUUGGGGUUUUAGGCUGGGUUUCUG